AGCGGGGAACCAUGAACACAAACAGCAUACACCCUAUAUACAAGUCACAUCACAGCUUCCGGCUGCUGGGAUCAGAAGGUUGGCGAAAGCAAAGAAACGAGUAAGAACAAAUCCCCGACACAGCCUCGCCCUUCAGGAAACUCCUCCUUCCGGCUGUCCUGAAAGGCUCCCGUGCUGUCCUAGACGCGGUCAAUGCAUCACACAGAUGUCCUUGGACGCCGUGCUCAGCUCCCAACUUCCGCAAGCUUUGCUGCUAGAUGAGCUAGAGGCUCACCCCGGGACCUGGAACCCUCUUACCCUCAGUCCGGGAGAGAUAACCGCGUAUUGUAUGGAAUAGUUACGUUACUUAAGACAGGUUUCUUUGGUGAUGGAUCUGGGUGGACACAGAAUAACACAACAGAGAGGCAUAUGAAAGUAAACGGGAUUGAUUAUACUUGCAGGUCCUGGAGGAGGGAGGCCUGGCGUGGCUCAGCACGCAGCAGCCACCUGGGCGGAACACCCAGGGGGUGGGCUCCACCAGGCGGGCAGGGAGCCAAGAGGGGGUGACACCACAGGCAAGGGCCUUUAGUGAAGUCGGGCGGAGUAGACCAGCAAAAACAUGCGGGGAUUUUACCGGUGCAUUUGAAUGUCACUAGGUCAUGGUCCAAGAGGGCAAGGAGGGGAACUUGCGGCAGGGGCCAGCCUUAUCACCCCGCUGCACCUGGUUGUUGGGGUGGGGUGCUUGCAGCCUACUUGUGGGGAUAUUGAGACAACAGGAAAAUAGGAGGUUUUCAACAUUUACAAUCAUGAGACUUCUCGGAGGAUGGGUAAUGAGCCCAGGGUGUCAGCUCCGGCCCUAGAAACUGACUGGAUGUAACUGUUUGAGGGGUCACCAGGAAGAAAUUCCAGAGGUUUCCCUGCCUUCUAUCUCACUUGGGAGCUCCAUUACAGCAGGGAGAUCUGAUCAACACUCCAUUCCCUUGAUAGCAGGGAUCAAAAGGGUAGCCCAAGUCCCCAGAGGCUCAUAUCAUGGCCCUCCCACAGGCUGGGCUCUGUUACGAGGAGACACUAGGGAAAAGGGUGGCACAAAUUCUGCUCUGACACAACACCAAAACCAGGAGAACGGAAGGAGGGUAAGGAAUGCGGUUGGCAUCCUCAGCAAACUGUUCAACAAGCAGACUGCCAAUGGAUGCCAUAACUCCGGGAGAAUGUGGCAAGAUUGCCGCCAUCUUGUGGAUAAAGCCCGACACACGGCAAGUGCUCAAUAAAUAUUUGAUGUUGAAACAAUAACGCUCUCCGUAAAGAAUGACAAAGUGGGAAGGUUCUUCACACAGGUCAGCAGCUCUGACUUUCUUUCAGGCCAGAACCUGUCACACUUGGGAGAUGAUCAUUCUUCUGAGACGACGCAGAGCACAAUGUCACGGGGGCGAUGACUAGGGCUGAGUCUGCCUCUUCUGGGCAUCGGCUAAUGAUCUUGGGCAAGUCCUUUAGACUCUCUGUGCUUUGGUUUUGACGUUUCCUGUUAUAGGAUAAUAAUAGUACCUGCCUUGGCAUUGAGGAUUAAACGGGUGAAUUCCUGUACAGCUCUGAGAACAGUAUCCAACACUUAGGAUGUGCUUCGUAAAUGCCAGAUGGGAUUGUUAUUGCCAUUAGAGUCUCACAGGUUGAUAAGACUGUAUAGGAGAAGUUGUGGGACACACCACAGCUCUCUAAGAAUGGGAGAGGUGAUGUUAAUCACACACGCCAGGAGGCUAUAAAGUUCGCCUCUGCUACAUCUUCUCUAGAUUAAGUCCUGUGGUCCCAGGCUCCCUAAGUGUGGAACUUGGGCUAGCAGCUUGGGCAUCUGCCGGGAGCUUGUGACAAACGCAGAAUCUUGGGACCCAUCCCAAGUCUAGAGAACCAGAACUUUCAUUUUAACUAGCUCCCUAGUGGUUAGCAUAAACACCAAUUCUUUAAUCUGAUUUAUUGUGGUAAAAUUAAGAUACGAUAACUGCAUUCAUUUAAAUCGUCCUGGGUGUGUGUGUGUGUGUGUGUGUGUGUGCGCACGCGCGCGUUUAGCUUGUUGAGGUAUAAUUGACGUACAGAAACAGAACCUAUUACAUGCGUACAUCUUUGUGAGGUUGGACGUGUGCACAUACCCAUGAUUCCAUCACCACGACCAAAGUUCUAAACAUAUGCAUUAUUUCAAAAAGUUUCCCGAUGUUCUAUUUCAUGGAGUUUUCUUUUUUUGUAAGAUCACUUAACAUGAGAUCUAAACUCUUAACAUAUUGUAGAUGUUAAAUGUUAUGAUGGUGUACUGUUAGUUACAUAUACUAGGUCAUACGGCAGAUCUCUAGGACUUAGUUUUGAGGUAGACAGACUAUGCACCGUCACCAAAACAAAAAUUCUGAACAUGUCCACCGCCCCCAAGAGUUUCUUCAUGCCCGUUUACUUUCUGUUUCUCCAUCCUUGACCAGGCUGGUUAGCGUCGGAUUAGUUUUCUGUUAAUAUAGAUUAUUUGGAAUGUUUUAGAAUUUGAUAGGGCAUAAAUCAGUAUGUAUUCUCUUUAUGUGGUUUCGUUUGCUCAUUACAACAUGACUUUGAGAUCCAACGAUAUCGUCUUCAUCAGUAGAUCAUUGAUUUCUCUUGUAUGCCAUUAUAUAGGUAGAUCACAUUUUGUUACCCACUCACCCAUUGAUGAACAUUUAGGCUGUUCACGGAUUUUCUGGCUAUUACAAAUAAAGCUGCUAUU